UACGUAGGGGGCAAGCGUUGUCCGGAAUCAUUGGGCGUAAAGCGCGUGUAGGCGGCCAGAAAAGUCCGCUGUGAAAACUCGAGGCUCAACCUCGAGCUGUCGGUGGAAACUUUCUGGCUAGAGUCCGGAAGAGGAGAAUGGAAUUCCUGGUGUAGCGGUGAAAUGCGCAGAUAUCAGGAGGAACACCGGUGGCGAAGGCGGGUCUCUGGGUAGUAACUGACGCUGAGGAACGAAAGCGUGGGUAGCGAACAGG
rnacentral:rRNA from 1 species